CCUACGGGAGGCAGCAGUCGAGAAUCAUUCACAAUGGUCGAAACCCUGAUGGUGCGACGCCGCGUGGGGGAAUGAAGUUCUUCGGAUUGUAAACCCCUGUCAUGUGGGAGCAAAUUAAAAAGAUAGUACCACAAGGGGAAGAGACGGCUAACUCUGUGCCAGCAGCCGCGGUAAUACAGAGGGCUCAAGCGGUGUUCGGAAUCACUGGGCGUAAAGCGUGCGGAGGCUGUUUCGUAAGUCGUGUGUGAAAGGCGCGGGCUCAACCCGCGGACGGCAGAUGAUACUGCGAGACUAGAGUAGUGGAGGGGGAUGCGGAAUGCGCGGUGUAGCAGUGAAAUGCGUAGAUAUCGAGCGGAACACUCGUGGCGAAGGCGGGUUCCUGGACAUUAACUGACGCUGAGGCACGAAGGCGAGGGGAGCGAAAGGGAUUAGAUACCCGUGUAGUC
rnacentral:rRNA from 1 species